rnacentral:rRNA from 1 species
AAGGAUCAUUACAGAGUUAGGGUCUUCCGGGCCCGAUCUCCAACCCUAUGUCUACCUGCCUUUGUUGCUUUGGCGGGCCCGCUGGGGAGACCCACCGGUGGCUCCGGCUGCCGAGCGCCCGUCAGAGACCCAUCAAACCCUGUUAACCGUGUAGUCUGAGUACCAAUACAAUAGUUAAAACUUUCAACAACGGAUCUCUUGGUUCUGGCAUCGAUGAAGAACGCAGCGAAAUGCGAUAAGUAAUGUGAAUUGCAGAAUUCAGUGAAUCAUCGAAUCUUUGAACGCACAUUGCGCCCUUUGGUAUUCCGAGGGGCAUGCCUGUUCGAGCGUCAUUACACCACUCAAGCACAGCUUGGUAUUGGGCCUCGUCCCCCGCGGACGUGCCUGGAAACCAGUGGCGGCGCAGCCCGGCUUCAAGCGUAGUAACUUAACCGCCGCUUUGGAAGUCUCGGGCCUGGGUCUGCCGGACAACCCCCAUCUUACUAAAAGGUUGACCUCAGAUCAGGUAGGGAUACCCGCUGAACUUAA